rnacentral:rRNA from 1 species
AGGACGAACGCUGGCGGCGUGCUUAACACAUGCAAGUCGAACGAGGUCCAUCCAGUGGAAACACUGGAGAAGACCGAGUGGCGAACGGGUGAGUAACACGUGAGCAACUGCCCCGAAGACCGGGAUAACAGCGGGAAACCGCUGCUAAUACCGGAUGUCCCCACCGGGCCGCAUGACCUGGUGAGGAAAUGGAUUCCGCUUCGGGAGGGACUCGCGGCCUAUCAGCUUGUUGGUGGGGUAACGGCCUACCAAGGCAACGACGGGUAGCUGGUCUGAGAGGACGAUCAGCCACACUGGGACUGAGACACGGCCCAGACUCCUACGGGAGGCAGCAGUGGGAAAUCUUGCGCAAUGGGCGAAAGCCUGACGCAGCAACGCCGCGUGAGGGACGAAGGUCUUCGGGUUGUAAACCUCUUUCAGCAGGGACGAUUGUGACGGUACCUGCAGAAGAAGCCCCGGCCAACUACGUGCCAGCAGCCGCGGUA